rnacentral:rRNA from 1 species
UACGUAGGAGGCGAGCGUUGUCCGGAUUUACUGGGCGUAAAGCGCGCGCAGGCGGCAGUGCAAGUAAGGUGUGAAAUCUCCCUGCUCAACGGGGAGGGUGCACUUUAGACUGCACAGCUCGAGGUCGGUAGAGGGGGGUGGAAUUGCUGGUGUAGCGGUGAAAUGCGUAGAGAUCAGCAGGAACACCCGUGGCGAAGGCGGCCCCCUGGGCCGUACCUGACGCUGAGGCGGCG